rnacentral:rRNA from 1 species
UACGAAGGGACCUAGCGUAGUUCGGAAUUACUGGGCUUAAAGAGUUCGUAGGUGGUUGAAAAAGUUGGUGGUGAAAUCCCAGAGCUUAACUCUGGAACUGCCAUCAAAACUUUUCAGCUAGAGUAUGAUAGAGGAAAGCAGAAUUUCUAGUGUAGAGGUGAAAUUCGUAGAUAUUAGAAAGAAUACCAAUUGCGAAGGCAGCUUUCUGGAUCAUUACUGACACUGAGGAACGAAAGCAUGGGUAGCGAAGAGGAUUAGAUACCCUCGUAGUCCAUGCCGUAAACGAUGUGUGUUAGACGUUGGAAAUUUAUUUUCAGUGUCGCAGCGAAAGCGAUAAACACACCGCCUGGGGAGUACGACCGCAAGGUUAAAACUCAAAUGAAUUGACGGGGACCCGCACAAGUAGUGGAGCAUGUGGUUUAAUUCGAAGAUACGCGCAGAACCUUACCAACACUUGACAUGUUCGUCGCGACUCUAAGAGAUUAGAGUUUUCGGUUCGGCCGGACGAAACACAGGUGCUGCAUGGCUGUCGUCAGCUCGUGUCGUGAGAUGUUGGAUUAAGUCCCGCAACGAGCGCAACCCUCACUUUUAGUUGCCAUCAUUAAGUUGGGCACUCUGAAAGAACUGCCAGUGAUAAGCUGGAGGAAGGUGGGGAUGACGUCAAGUCCUCAUGGCCCUUACGUGUUGGGCUACACACGUGCUACAAUGGUAUCUACAACAGGAAGCAAGACUGCGAAGUUAAGCAAAUCCCUAAAAGAUACCUCAGUUCGGAUUGCACUCUGCAACUCGAGUGCAUGAAGCUGGAAUUACUAGUAAUCGUGGAUCAGCGUGCCACGGUGAAUGCGUUCCCGGGUCU